rnacentral:rRNA from 1 species
GGGCCCGCACAAGCGGAGGAGCAUGUGGUUUAAUUCGAUGAUACGCGAGGAACCUUACCUAGACUUAAAUGUAGAUUGACCGGAGGGGAAACCUUUUUUUCAGCAAUGACAAUUUACAAGGUGCUGCAUGGUUGUCGUCAGCUCGUGCCGUGAGGUGUCAGGUUAAGUCCUAUAACGAGCGCAACCCCUAUUCUUAGUUGCCAGCAUGUGAUGAUGGGGACUCUAAGGAAACUGCCUACGCAAGUAGAGAGGAAGGUGGGGAUGACGUCAAAUCAGCACGGCCCUUACGUCUAGGGCUACACACGUGCUACAAUGGUAGGUACAGAGGGCAGCUACACGGUGACGUGAUGCCAAUCUCCAAAGCCUAUCUCAGUUCGGAUCGAAGUCUGCAACCCGACUUCGUGAAGUUGGAUUCGCUAGUAAUCGCAUAUCAGCCAUGAUGCGGUGAAUACGUUCCCGGGCCUU